rnacentral:rRNA from 1 species
UACGAAGGGGGCUAGCGUUGCUCGGAAUCACUGGGCGUAAAGGGUGCGUAGGCGGGUCUUUAAGUCAGGGGUGAAAUCCUGGAGCUCAACUCCAGAACUGCCUUUGAUACUGAGGAUCUUGAGUACGGGAGAGGUGAGUGGAACUGCGAGUGUAGAGGUGAAAUACGUAGAUAUCAGGAGGAAUACCGGAGGCGAAGGCGGAUAGCUGGGCCAACACUGACGCUGAGACCCGAAAGCGUGGGGAUCAAACAGG